rnacentral:misc_RNA from 1 species
GAAAUGCGAUAAGUAAUGCGAAUUGCAGAAUUUCAGUGAGUCAUCGAAUCUUUGAACGCACAUUGCGCCCCCUGGUAUUCCGGGGGGCAUGCCUGUCCGAGCGUCAUUACACCAAUCAAGCCUGGCUUGGUAUUGGGCGUCGCGGGUCUCUGACCCGCGCGCCUUAAAGUCUCACCGGCUGAGCGGCGUCGUCUCUAAGCGUUGUGGAAACUAUUCGCGGAGAGGAGGCGCGGCGUGGCCGUUAAAUACCCCAUCAAAGGUUGACCUCGGAUCAGGUAGGGAUACCCGCUGAACUUAA